AUUGAACGCUAGCGGGAUGCUUUACACAUGCAAGUCGAACGGCAGCGCGGACUUCGGUCUGGCGGCGAGUGGCGAACGGGUGAGUAAUGUAUCGGAACGUGCCCAGUAGCGGGGGAUAACUACGCGAAAGCGUGGCUAAUACCGCAUACGCCCUACGGGGAAAGGGGGGGAGUCUUCGGACAUCUCACUAUUGGAGCGGCCGAUAUCGGAUUAGCUAGUUGGGUGGGGUAAAGGCCUACCAAGG
rnacentral:rRNA from 1 species